GAACGCUAGCGGCAAGCUUAACACAUGCAAGUCGAGGGGCAGCGGGGAGGAAGCUUGCUUUCUCCGCCGGCGACCGGCGCACGGGUGAGUAACACGUAUGCAACCUGCCCCUGUCAGGGGGACAACCCGCCGAAAGGCGGGCUAAACCCGCGUACAUGCCACCGGGGCAUCCCGGAGGCAGGAAAGGCUUCGGCCGGACAGGGAUGGGCAUGCGGCGCAUUAGGCAGUAGGCGGGGUAACGGCCCACCUAACCGACGAUGCGUAGGGGUUCUGAGAGGAAGGUCCCCCACACUGGUACUGAGACACGGACCAGACUCCUACGGGAGGCAGCAGUGAGGAAUAUUGGUCAAUGGUCGGGAGACUGAACCAGCCAAGCCGCGUGAGGGAUGAAGGUACAGAGUAUCGUAAACCUCUUUUGUCAGGGAACAAAGGCGGGGACGUGUCCCCGGAUGAGUGUACCUGAAGAAAAAGCAUCGGCUAACUCCGUGCCAGCAGCCGCGGUAAUACGGAGGAUGCGAGCGUUAUCCGGAUUUAUUGGGUUUAAAGGGUGCGCAGGCGGUCUGUCAAGUCAGCGGUCAAAGCCCGGGGCUCAACCCCGGCCCGCCGUUGAAACUGGCAGUCUCGAGUUGGAGAGAAGUAUGCGGAAUGCGCGGUGUAGCGGUGAAAUGCAUAGAUAUCGCGCAGAACUCCGAUUGCGAAGGCAGCAUGCCGGCUCCACACUGACGCUGAGGCACGAAAGCGUGGGUAUCGAACAGGAUUAGAUACCCUGGUAGUCCACGCAGUAAACGAUGAAUGCUGGCUGUCCGGGGGGGAUUGACCCCUGGGUGGCGAAGCGAAAGCGAUAAGCAUUCCACCUGGGGGGUACGCCGGCAACGGUGAAACUCAAAGGAAUUGACGGGGGCCCGCACAAGCGGAGGAACAUGUGGUUUAAUUCGAUGAUACGCGAGGAACCUUACCCGGGCUCAAACGGGGAGUGACUCAGGCAGAGACGCCUGUUUCCCACGGGACACUCCCCGAGGUGCUGCAUGGUUGUCGUCAGCUCGUGCCGUGAGGUGUCGGCUUAAGUGCCAUAACGAGCGCAACCCCCGCGUGCAGUUGCUAACAGAUAACGCUGAGGACUCUGCACGGACUGCCGGCGCAAGCCGCGAGGAAGGCGGGGAUGACGUCAAAUCAGCACGGCCCUUACGUCCGGGGCGACACACGUGUUACAAUGGGUGGUACAGCGGGAAGCCAGGCGGCGACGCCGAGCGGAACCCGAAAUCCACUCUCAGUUCGGAUCGGAGUCUGCAACCCGACUCCGUGAAGCUGGAUUCGCUAGUAAUCGCGCAUCAGCCAUGGCGCGGUGAAUACGUUCCCGGGCCUUGUACACACCGCCCGUCAAGCCAUGGGAGCCGAGGGCGCUUGAAGUGCGUCGCCGCGAGGCGCGCCCUAGAGCGAAAUCGGUGACU
rnacentral:rRNA from 1 species